AUUGAACGCUGGCGGCAGGCUUAACACAUGCAAGUCGAGCGGGGGAAGGUAGCUUGCUACUGGACCUAGCGGCGGACGGGUGAGUAAUGCUUAGGAAUCUGCCUAUUAGUGGGGGACAACAUCUCGAAAGGGAUGCUAAUACCGCAUACGUCCUACGGGAGAAAGCAGGGGAUCUUCGGCCCUUGCGCUAAUAGAUGAGCCUAAGUCGGAUUAGCUAGUUGGUGGGGUAAAGGCCGACCAAGGCGACGAUCUGUAGCGGGUCUGAGAGGAUGAUCCGCCACACUGGGACUGAGACACGGCCCAGACUCCUACGGGAGGCAGCAGUGGGGAAUAUUGGACAAUGGGGGGAACCCUGAUCCAGCCAUGCCGCGUGUGUGAAGAAGGCCUUAUGGUUGUAAAGCACUUUAAGCGAGGAGGAGGCUACUUUAGUUAAUACCUAGAGAUAGUGGACGUUACUCGCAGAAUAAGCACCGGCUAACUCUGUGCCAGCCGCCGCAGUAA
rnacentral:rRNA from 1 species